ACCGGAUCCACUGAUCCACCAGAAAGAGCCAAGGAAAGCCAUGCCUCAAGCUUCCCUCUUUCUGCCUGAGGCCACGCCCAAGGGGGUGUGGCAACCAUUACAAGUUCACUGCAAGAUCGCUAUAGAAUACCAUUUUAUCUCAGGAUCCUGGGGACCUUGAAGGUCAAAACUCUGUUCAUAUCAGCGAUAAUGGAAGACAGACUUUGUACACCUCAUUAACUUUCAUCAAGGUAGGCCCCCUUUAAAUAGGCAUUUAAAUUGAC
rnacentral:lncRNA from 1 species